UACGUAGGGGGCAAGCGUUGUCCGGAAUCAUUGGGCGUAAAGCGCGCGUAGGCGGCCCGGCAAGUCCGCUGUGAAAGUCCAGGGCUCAACCCUGGAAAGCCGGUGGAUACUGUCGGGCUAGAGUCCGGAAGAGGCGAGUGGAAUUCCUGGUGUAGCGGUGGAAUGCGCAGAUAUCAGGAGGAACACCGAUGGCGAAGGCAGCUCGCUGGGACGGUACUGACGCUGAGGCGCGAAAGCGUGGGGAGCGAACAGG
rnacentral:rRNA from 1 species